UGGAGGGGCUGGCAUGGCAGCAGAGCUGCGCUCCUCCUCCAUGGGGACAGCAUGUCCCCGCCUGGUCCUGCUGGUGUCCUGAGAGCCCCCAGGAGCUGAGGGGCACAUGCAGAGGCAGCUUGGUUUCGUGGCAGGGAGGUCCACGUUGGCUGUCCUGUACGCUGCUCUCUCCUGGCAGCUGGAGGCUCGUGCACGGAGGCGAAACCACCCCACGCGUCGUUUGGUAACUUCGGGACCUGAGCCUGUAGCAUCCGAGAUUUGGGUGCAAGGCCUCUUUUGGUCUUGGUGACCCUGAGCCACGUGGCAUCCUGCCCCCCGGGUUUGUGGGGUGCUGCGGGUGGUAGUUCACACGCUGCGUGGUGUAAUGCCCGCCUGCAAAGUGCACGGCAAGGGAGGUGUCGAUGCAGCCUGGGAAGGCAGGAUAGGUGUGAGUCUCUUCCACCAGGUACGCCUCAACCAAAAUACCUGGCUCUGCACCAAAGGAACUGGGGUUGGAGACAUGUGAGAGGCACCCAGCCGUCAGGGGUGUCCGUGACAGUCCCUUCAAGGGAUGGACUUGACCGAUUUGGGUGAACUCGGGGAUUGUCCAGCUCUGCAUUGAGGUUUGCCUGGAGUCAGCCUGGCUGCGGCCAUUUCUCCUCCCUGUCCACAGUGUCUCAAAAGGUCUCUGUGCAGGCUCUGUCACCCUGGACAUCACCUGGAAGGAGGAAGAGGAGCUGGAUCCAAGCACAGGUCCUGGCAUCUCGGACAACCCCACACCCCGUGCCUCAGCAUCUGCUGCUGCAGCAGCAAGAAGGGGAAGACAACUUCUGGGAGAUGAGGGCUUGCUCAUGGUUUGCUGGGGACAAGGUCCAGGGUGGGACCCCGCACCCCUGGAAGGGUGCUUGAGCACCUGGAGAGCUCAACGGUUAAAUUUUGAGCUGCACCCUGCCUAUUUGUCUGCCUGGUAUCAGCUCAGGAGCCAGGGUGCAGAAGUGCAGGAGGACCUGAACCUCCUCGGUCUGCUGCAGAUGAAGGAAAAGGUGCGGGUGUGAUUCAUGCAGCAUGCGUCCUCCCAGAGCAUCAGAUUUUCUCCCAAAAAAGCAUGCUGUGGAGGCAUGCGCCUGGCUCUCAUGUAAAUAGGAGCCUUCUCAUCUCAAAGCCUCACCUGCACAGGACAAGAGCUAUUCCCUGGUCCAGAAGCACAGGCCAACCACCCUCUGCUCAGCGAAGCUCUCCUUGCUUGUCCCCAGGCAGAGUGAGUAGCCUGUCCCCUCUCCUGCUACGUCCCUGCUGUGUGCAUCCCCGCGUACGUCUCCCCGUGCCUGCUACGGGACGCACCUACGUAGAGAAGAGUAAAAGAAAAGUGUGUAU